rnacentral:lncRNA from 1 species
AAAGAACACACUGAAAUUUUAUUAGAUAGAAACUUGAUGCCCCUACAACGUAAAAUACAUCUCCUUUUAUAGGUAAAGGAGAUAAAAACAGACAUACAUAGUUACAAUACAAACUAUUAAUACACUUUCAUGUCUUAAAAAACAAAACUAAGAUUCUUUAGCAUGCUUUAACUAUUGACAUUAGAAAGAGGAAGUUGUGCACUGUCUAUGGAGCUCUCACUGUUGUCAUCAACUUCUUUACACGUAUCUUCAUCUUCAUACUUAUCUUCUUGGAUUGAGCUGUUAUGAAGUCUUAUCCUUUCAAUCUCAACUUGGUUG